CUACUUGGAGUUUGAGUUGAGUUCUGUUUGGGGGAAACGUGCGAAGGAGAAAGUCUAGGGUUUCUACAAGAGCCGCGGCCUCCGCUUGUUUUGCCGAAUUGGUGUCCACAGAUUUGGUGAAGCCAUCCAGAACUCUUCCCAUGGAGUCUCGGCAUAUAUAAGCAAUAGCUCCCCUUUUUGGUUGUGCCGCAUUAGAUCUGGUGACAAACCCACAUAGAGAAAGCUGUACGUUGGAUCUGGGGGACUCAUGGUGAGACUCGUUGGCUGGAGAGGCUGGAAUUUGGGAUUUGUCAGCAAUACGGCUCGGGGCUUCAUCGUGGGUGUGAUUUACGGUGGUUUGGGCUGCUGUUUUGUCAUCCUCAGAGGUAGGGUAGUUUCCUGGUUGGGAGCAGUCUUCUGUCAUAGGGGAUUCCGGUCUCGUUCGGUGCUCACAACUACAGGAUGAGCAUGCCCUGGAAUGGGUUUGUUGGGUCCCCGUUGGUAACUCCGGGCAGCAAAUGCAAGUGAAUUGAUAUUUCUCCAAACCGGCUCAACUGUUGAUUUACUUAAAUUCAGUUCUGGUAUAGUGGAAGGGUUUAGGAAUUCAUCGGGUUGCUGUUGGAAGAGGCCCCCUGGGAGAUCUAAUGGGGAUUUUUCGGUAUUCGCACAGUCCCCAUCUUGAGAAGUUUCAGUCACAAAAGAGGCGUCAAUAUUAAUGAGGAUGGUGCCAGGGUGUGGAGGUUGCCACUUUGGAUUUGAGGAGCCCUGUUUCUGAUUUUUCGCCUGCUUUACAUUCCAAUUUGCAAAAAUGUCAUGUGAUGUUGAAGUGUUGAACAUGGUACUAAUCGGGUUCAGGGAAUUUUGCCGAAAUAUGAAAUGGUUUCUGUCCUUCCAAAUCCACCACAGGAUCAAUGCGAGCUGGGCAAAUGGAAUGGGCAUUCCAGAUCAGAGAAGUCCAUGGACACAGUAACAGGGUGUGCUCUACUGUUUCUGGUUCAAGUUUGCAAAUCGGGCAAGUUAUGGCAGGUUUUCUUUCCAACUCUCCAGUUUCAUGUUGACCUUUGCAAGGAUCCAUGCAAACAUGUCCUUCUUGGUAGCACCCCAAUUCGACGGAACUCCCAAGUACUUGCCUG